GCAAGGAGGUCACACCUGUUCCCAUGCCGAACACAGAAGUUAAGCUCCUUAGCG
rnacentral:rRNA from 1 species